rnacentral:rRNA from 1 species
CCUUAAACCACAGUAGUUAAAACAACAAAACUACUCGCCAGAAUACUACAAGCAACAGCUUGAAACUCAAAGGACUUGGCGGUGCUUCAUAUCCCCCUAGAGGAGCCUGUUCCAUAAUCGAUAAACCCCGAUCUACCUCACCCUCUCUCGCUCAGCCUAUAUACCGCCAUCUUCAGCGAACCCUGAUAAAGGUCACAGAGUGAGCACAAAUGCCCCCUCCUCGCAAAAACGUUAGGUCAAGGUGUAGCUAAUGAGAUGGUAAAGGAUGGGCUACAUUUUCUAUCUCAGAAAACCCUACGACAACUCUUAUGAAACCUAAGAGUCCAAGGAGGAUUUAGCAGUAAAUUAAGAAUAGAGCGCUUAAUUGAACUAGGCCAUAAAGCACGC